CCCUCCGGGCAGUUUGCACGGAGAGCUGUGCUCCUUUGGCUGUAGAGGGCAGGAUGUCGUACUUCCCCCUUCCCUACCACCGCCUUGGAGACGGAGAGGCGGGACUCAAAGGGAUGCUCCCGCACCCCCUUCCUCCUUCCAAAGACGUUUCAGUCGCAAUUGGCCCAAUUCUUCGGUCUCCGACCCGCUGCAAGGACUCCAAAGUCUGGGGAAUGGACUAGACCACCCAUGUCCCAGGGGACAGGGAGGAUACGAGACGUAACCUCUUGCGUUCGCGGUGUAGGCCAAGUGUUCUUCAUCCCGAACUCGGAAAAUAAGGCUCGCAAGUUAUUCACGGUAUUGUUCACAAUUAAGUUUUUGGUUAAGAAUAGGAAUUGAAAAACUGUAGCCUGCUUUGCACUCGCCUCCCCCAUCUACCAAAUGGAAGUUACCGGCUAAGAAGGACGCAUGCGUCGGGGCGUGUUCUCGCGCUGGGACGUCCGGGCCCGCCUCUCCCAAGCCCCGCCUCUUGGAAGUCGUGUUUGCUGAGCCAGGAUUUUGAUCAAUGCAGUGGCAUACAUAUAAGGAAGGUUUAUCUGGUGGUGGUAUACAGAAGGACUGGAAUGGAAUGAAGUUAUGAUCAGAGAAACACAUCUGCACAAAGGGGCUGGGACAGAUUCCCAAGACUUUAAAUUGCCAAGACCAGGAAGUCGUGGUACUAGGAUUUCAUACCAG